UACAGAGGUCUCAAGCGUUGUUCGGAUUCAUUGGGCGUAAAGGGUGCGUAGGCGGCGCGGUAAGUCGGAUGUGAAAUCUCGGAGCUUAACUUCGAAACUGCAUUCGAUACUGCCGUGCUUGAGGACUGGAGAGGAGACUGGAAUUUACGGUGUAGCGGUGAAAUGCGUAGAUAUCGUCUGGAACGCCAAAGGUGAAAACAGACUGCUGGGAGUGUGCUGACGCUGAGACACGAAAGCCAGGGGAGCAAACGGG
rnacentral:rRNA from 1 species